rnacentral:rRNA from 1 species
UACGUAGGGUGCAAGCGUUGUCCGGAAUUAUUGGGCGUAAAGAGCUCGUAGGCGGUUUGUCGCGUCUGCUGUGAAAACUCGGGGCUUAACUCCGGGCCUGCAGUGGGUACGGGCAGACUAGAGUGCGGUAGGGGAGACUGGAAUUCCUGGUGUAGCGGUGAAAUGCGUAGAUAUCGUAAGGAAGACCAGUGGCGAAGGCGGGUCUCUGGACAGUUCCUGACGCUGAGGCACGAAGGUCAGGGGAGCAAACGGG